AUUUGUGUGUGCAUGUGCCAAAUCUUGUUACGAUUCCUUUGUAUGAUGGCUGUGUCCCCUUUCUCGACUUGUGUUCCUUUCUUAUGAUGGAAAAAGCAAAGCCAAUUGGCCUUCUUUAGAGGCAGCAAAACAAACCGUAAGUAUGAGGGAAUUUUCCUAGAAAUUUCUUAGAUUUUACCAGAGAAAAACUUGUCUUACUACAAGUCUAGAAGAUUAAGUUGGCAAAGGACUUACAGCAGACGUCAUGACUGUAUAUAGUAACAAGAUUGAUGGUGCUAAGGGGCUUGAAUUGAUGAUACAUGUACAUUAAGUAUCUAUCACAAUACAUUUUAAGGUAGCAGUGGAACCCUAACUAUACGGGAGCAUUGCAAAGCAAUCUUUUGUCACGACGUGAGUGAAAAAUUAAGCGCACAUCUCACGCAACCUCCAAGCUGUGGAUCUCCGGCCGGAAGGGUUUCCCAAUGCCUUCUUCACCUUCACCACUGCAAAUUCCCACCCUGCUCUGCCUCUUUAGUUCAUCCCUACUGCAACUACUAAGGUUUUUACUUUAAUCAUGAUCAUUUCUAUUGUAAAUCCUACCAAUUCUUUGUUAGUUUUCUUGAAUCAGAAAUAUCCUGCAAUUUUCUUUUACUUUUUUUAGUUAUAAGGAUCUGAAUGUGUCGUAAGAGCUUUGUUUUCUGUAAAUCUAUGUUCGGCCUAUUCUGAGUAUGAUAAUUGAAAAAAGUAGGCGAUAUAUAUGUAUAAGUUUGUAUUAAUUAAUCAACUUAGGAACACCAAAUCCGUGACUGGAGAGUUCUUUUGAAUAUCUUGUAAAAUACUGAAUCAAGAUUACGACAGGAA